UCGGGAAUUUUGGGCAAUGGGCGAAAGCCUGACCCAGCAACGCCGCGUGAAGGAUGAAGUAUUUCGGUAUGUAAACUUCGAAAGAAUAGGAAGAAUAAAUGACGGUACUAUUUAUAAGGUCCGGCUAACUACGUGCCAGCAGCCGCGGUAAUACGUAGGGACCAAGCGUUGUUCGGAUUUACUGGGCGUAAAGGGCGCGUAGGCGGUGUGUCAAGUCAGUUGUGAAAUCUCCGAGCUUAACUCGGAACGGUCAACUGAUACUGUCACACUAGAGUACAGAAGGGGCAAUCGGAAUUCUUGGUGUAGCGGUGAAAUGCGUAGAUAUCAAGAGGAACACCUGAGGUGAAGACGGGUUGCUGGGCUGACACUGACGCUGAGGCGCGAAAGCCAGGGGAGCAAACGGGAUUAGAUACCCUUGUAGUCCCUGAGCGGGCUGGCAAGGCGCAU
rnacentral:rRNA from 1 species